rnacentral:rRNA from 1 species
GGGACACGUGGUAUCCUGUCUGAAUAUGGGGGGACCAUCCUCCAAGGCUAAAUACUCCUGACUGACCGAUAGUGAACCAGUACCGUGAGGGAAAGGCGAAAAGAACCCCGGCGAGGGGAGUGAAAAAGAACCUGAAACCGUGUACGUACAAGCAGUGGGAGCACGCUUCGGCGUGUGACUGCGUACCUUUUGUAUAAUGGGUCAGCGACUUAUAUUCUGUAGCAAGGUUAACCGAAUAGGGGAGCCGAAGGGAAACCGAGUCUUAACUGGGCGUUAAGUUGCAGGGUAUAGACCCGAAACCCGGUGAUCUAGCCAUGGGCAGGUUGAAGGUUGGGUAACACUAACUGGAGGACCGAACCGACUAAUGUUGAAAAAUUAGCGGAUGACUUGUGGCUGGGGGUGAAAGGCCAAUCAAACCGGGAGAUAGCUGGUUCUCCCCGAAAGCU